rnacentral:tRNA from 2 species
AGAGACUUAGGUUAAUGUUAGACCAAGGGCCUUCAAAGCCCUAAGCGAGAGUUGAACUCUCUCAGCCUCUG